rnacentral:rRNA from 1 species
UACGUAGGGUGCGAGCGUUAAUCGGAAUUACUGGGCGUAAAGCGUGCGCAGGCGGUUCGUUAAGUUGGUUGGGAAAGCCCCGGGCUCAACCUGGGAACUGCAAUGGAAACUGGCGGGCUUGAGUGUGGCAGAGGGGGGUGGAAUUCCACGUGUAGCAGUGAAAUGCGUAGAGAUGUGGAGGAACACCGAUGGCGAAGGCAGCCCCCUGGGUCAACACUGACGCUCAUGCACGAAAGCGUGGGGAGCAAACAGG